AUCGAUUAAUUAGAUUCCGUGUUCCCAUAAGUUUGUUGAUGAAGGACACUGAUUGCCUCACACCACGCUAAAGCGAAUCCUGAAGGGUCCUCCAAGUUAUAUGUGCGGUUGGGCUAUCGGUACAGAGAAAGAUAUAGACCAGGGAAUCUCUCCUUUCACCGUCAUGUUGUUGGGGUCGCAGUAAAAUAGAUGAGGGCCUUCCGUCAGAAGAAGCAUUCGACGUCGUGCAAACAAGCCCUGUAUAAUAACAUAGUUGUAUGAAAAUUCAAUAAAAUAUUCUAUAAAAUAAA